rnacentral:rRNA from 1 species
UACGUAGGGUGCAAGCGUUGUCCGGAUUUACUGGGCGUAAAGAGCGCGCAGGCGGCUGGUCAAGUCCGAUGUGAAAUCUCCCGGCUCAACUGGGAAACUGCAUCGGAAACUGAUUGGCUUGAAGAUGGGAGAGGGUAGUGGAAUUCCCGGUGUAGUGGUGAAAUGCGUAGAUAUCGGGAGGAACACCAGUGGCGAAGGCGACUACCUGGCCCAUUCUUGACGCUGAGGCGCGAAAGCUAGGGGAGCGAACGGG